UUAUGCUGAAUGCAGUUGGCAAAAUGCUGAAUGCAGUUGGGCAAAAAUUACAAAUAAAGGCACGAUAGUACUUUUGCCGCUCCAAAGGUUAUCUCAAAGAAAGAAUUUUAGGGGUGGACUUAUCCCUAUGUAUUUUCCAUUCUAGGGGAGUAUAUGAAAAAAAAAAAAAAAAACUUAACCACCAUUAAUUAGAAAUAAAAAAAAUUGGAAGCUCAUACAAUUUAAAUAAAGUUAGGAAACAUAUAUUAAACAUGCAGCAGAAAA